rnacentral:rRNA from 1 species
UACGAAGGGGGCUAGCGUUGCUCGGAAUUACUGGGCGUAAAGCGCACGUAGGCGGAUUUGUUAGUCAGGGGUGAAAUCCCGAGGCUCAACCUCGGAACUGCCUUUGAUACUGCAAAUCUCGAGUCCGGAAGAGGUGAGUGGAAUUCCUAGUGUAGAGGUGAAAUUCGUAGAUAUUAGGAAGAACACCAGUGGCGAAGGCGGCUCACUGGUCCGGUACUGACGCUGAGGUGCGAAAGCGUGGGGAGCAAACAGG